rnacentral:hammerhead_ribozyme from 1 species
ACACUGGUGACGAGUCCAACAACAGAACGAAACAGCUGUCCAGUGC